CAGAGGCCUCAAGCGUUAGGCGGAAUCACUGGGCUUAAAGCGUGUGUAGGCGGGUCGUUAAGUACCUUGUGAAAUCCUAUGGCUUAACCGUGGAACCGCUUGGUAUACUGGCGAUCUUGAGCCACUUAGGGGCUACCGGAACAGAUGGUGGAGCGGUGAAAUGCGUAGAUAUCAUCUGGAACGCCAAUGGUGAAAACAGGUAGCUGGGAGUGUGCUGACGCUGAGACACGAAAGCCAGGGGAGCGAACGGGAUUAGAUACCCCGGUAGUCCUGGCCCUAAACGAUGUCCACUAGAUCGUGGCGGCUCUGACGUCGUCACGGUCGAAGUAAAAGUGCUAAGUGGACCGUUUGGGAAGUACGGUCGCAAGGCUA
rnacentral:rRNA from 1 species